GGACGGUUAGCUCAGCGGUAGAGCACCGCUUUCACACGGCGGGGGUCACAGGUUCAAUCCCUGUACCGUCCACCA
rnacentral:tRNA from 1 species